GAUGAACGCUGGCGGUGUGCCUAACACAUGCAAGUCGUACGAGAGUUUUUAACUCAAGUGGCGGACGGGUGAGUAACACGUGAGAAUUUGCCUUUAGGAGGGGGAUAACAACUAGAAAUGGUUGCUAAUACCCCAUAUGCUUCCGAGUGAAAUAGAUUUAUCUGCCUAAAGAGAAGCUCGCGGCUGAUUAGCUUGUUGGUAAGGUAAUGGCUUACCAAGGCGACGAUCAGUAUCUGGUUUGAGAGGACGAUCAGACACACUGGAACUGAGACACGGUCCAG
rnacentral:rRNA from 1 species